rnacentral:rRNA from 1 species
GUGCUUGCACAUCGCUGACGAGUGGCGGACGGGUGAGUAAUGCUUGGGAACUUGCCUUUGCGAGGGGGAUAACAGUUGGAAACGACUGCUAAUACCGCAUAAUGUUUUCGAACCAAACGGGGCUUCGGCUCCGGCGCAAAGAGAGGCCCAAGUGAGAUUAGCUAGUUGGUGAGGUAAAGGCUCACCAAGGCGACGAUCUCUAGCUGUUCUGAGAGGAAGAUCAGCCACACUGGGACUGAGACACGGCCCAGACUCCUACGGGAGGCAGCAGUGGGGAAUAUUGCACAAUGGGGGAAACCCUGAUGCAGCCAUGCCGCGUGUGUGAAGAAGGCCUUCGGGUUGUAAAGCACUUUCAGUUGUGAGGAAAAGUUAGUAGUUAAUACCUGCUAGCCGUGACGUUAACAACAGAAGAAGCACCGGCUAACUCCGUGCCAGCAGCCGCGGUAAUACGGAGGGUGCGAGCGUUAAUCGGAAUUACUGGGCGUAAAGCGCACGCAGGCGGUUUGUUAAGCUAGAUGUGAAAGCCCCGGGCUCAACCUGGGAUGGUCAUUUAGAACUGGCAGACUAGAGUCUUGGAGAGGGGAGUGGAAUUCCAGGUGUAGCGGUGAAAUGCGUAGAUAUCUGGAGGAACAUCAGUGGCGAAGGCGACUCCCUGGCCAAAGACUGACGCUCAUGUGCGAAAAGUGUGGGUAGCGAACAGGAUUAGAUACCC